rnacentral:lncRNA from 1 species
UCUUUGGGGGUCUACAGUCCCCAUGAACCCCCUCCUCUUAUACUGUUCUACGACUGACUUUUCUUCAGUCCUCUCAUUUACUGCAUUAGCUGUUGAGUAUUUAUUUCACGUGUUUAUCGAAUGCCUCCUAUUUGGCAGUUUCUGUGGGAGAUGCUAAGUGAAAAGAGCAGAACUUUCCUGGCUUCUUGGAACUUACCUCUAAAUGUAGUACCGUCCAUAUUGGCUGGUGGCUGCCAUACUGGAUAGCACAGGCCUCGUGGGAGAAACGGGGUAUCGAACAAGUAAUCACACAGGAUAUCUCCAAGAAGGAUUUAUUUCCUCAUGUACUAGAGAUUACUUACCUAUUAUCUGGGGUCAGAAAGGUUGUUGUAGAUACCUUGUCAAAUGGCAUAAUAUAAAUUAUGGCCUUUAAGAAGGACUUGGUGCCUCUAAAAAAGAGGCAAACCAAGGCGGGUGACCUUGGUUGUCAGAAGGAAGAUUUAAUCUCUUUUCUUUAAUGCACUUUGACCAGUUGGCAUUUGAACUCGGUCAGACUUGAGUUGGAUUUUUAUUUAGGUUUAAAUAGUCUCAUCUUUAAUGAUGUAAAAUUUUAUAACACUGAAUUUUUACAGUCAAAGAGAAUUGUACUUUAUUUUCCAACAUUUUCCUGUGGUUAUUUUAAUUAUGUCUUCUCCUGUCCUCUGUUUCUGUGAUGUUUAUUUCUUUUAAUUCUUUCAGAGAAGAUCCCUUAGGUUCUUGCACUGUGGCUAUUAUUUCUUGUAUAGUGUUUCAUGGCUUCUUUUUGCCUUAUAUUUUGCUUGCAGAGUGCCUUUAGUGUCAGGUCUCUAAAUUAUUGCAGCUUGCCUUUGAUGCAUUUGGUUAACUUAGUUAAUGGAUGGUCUGGAGAAAUGUUUUGAAGUUGUGGGAUGACAGGAGUAGCCCAAGGGAUUGGGCUUUCUGGUUUCUGAACAAUUUGUUGAGAUUAAUAAGGUGCUUUUUAAAAAUUAUUUUUGGGAGUUCCCAUCAUGGCUCAUCUGGAUUUGUCUCUGCUGUGCCACAACAGGAACUCCAGUAAAGGAUGUUUUUUGAAAUGGGCAGUUUAAGCUGAGAGAAACAAAAUGUCCACAUUCUCCCUUGUGUUACCGGAGCAGUUAUAAGUGACAUUCUGGAUGGCCUUACGUGACUACUGCCGUCUCUGCUUUCAGUGACCUAGUUUACAGCUGUGCACUUCACUCUGGGCAGGGAUCCUCUUGUACCUUUGUCUCAUGCCAAGGACUCUGAGCGAAGCUCGGCCUUUUCUGGCUCCUCAUAAAUAUAAACCUCGAGAAGCCUUGGCAUUGGGCCAGAUAGGAUCGGAUUUCAAGUGUAACUGACUGUGAUGUCCAAGGGUCCCCCAUGCUCUUCAUGAGGAAGCAGGGGCUUGCAUUAUCCUCACGCACCCACUUCAUCCUCGGUGGACUUGGCUAUAGGCAUGAGAGUGGACUGAGGGCCCAACCACCCGCUCCUAGGUGCUUCUUGGGCUGGGAGGAUGGGGUGAAGGACUGUGGUUCAGGACAGGACAGACUUGCAGACUGGAGGGGCUCCUCUGCUACCUCCCACUGAAAAUGAGAACAGUUUGGGGAAUGGAAUCUUUCUAUGUGCUCACUACAGUGGCCAUUUCACUCACUCUCCUUGGGGGAACUUUAAUAGAUCCAGUAGAACCCAUGAAAAAAACUCAUGAAAAAAACCACUGUGCAGUACGGUGGUUAGGAGUGUGUUGGGAGCUUGGGUUCGAUUUCUGCCUCUGCUGCCUAGUACCUGGGUGGUAUUACUUAAUUCCUCUAUGCCUUGGUUUUCUUUGAUGGGGUAGGCAUUGGGACUUAAAUGAGGUACUGUUUGCAAAGCACUAGAUUAUUGUCUCAGAUACUGUUAUGGGCUAAAUUGUGUCAUCCCCCGCCCACCCCCCCCCCCCAGUUUGUAUGUGGAAGACCUAACCCCACUUUCCCAGACUGUGAAUGCUUGGGGAUGGGGCCUUUUAUUUUAUUUUAUUUUAUUGAUUUUUAGGGCCUGCACAGCCACGUGGGAUCCGAGCCGCAUCCGCGACCUACAUCACAGUUCAUGGCAAUGCUGGAUUCUUAACCCACUGAGUGAGGCCAGGGAUUGAACCUGAGUCUUCAUGGAUACUAAUUGGGUUCAUUAGUGCUGAGCCACAAGGGGAAUUCCUCCUCCCAUUUUUUUUUGUUUUGUUUUGCUAUUUCUUUGGGCCGCUCCCAUGGCAUAUGGAGAUUCCCAGGCUAGGGGUCGAAUCGGAGCUGUAGCCCCCAGCCUAAGCCAGAGCCACAGCAACGCAGGAUCCGAGCCACGUCUGCGACCUACACCACAGCUCACGGCAACGCCAGAUCGUUAACCCACUGAGCAAGGGCAGGGACCAAACCCGCAACCUCAUGGUUCCUAGUCGGAUUCGUUAACCACUAUGACACGACGGGAACUCCUGUUUCUAUCUUAUAAAUGAGUUCUUUUGUAUGAUUUUUUUUUUUGAAUUCCGCAUAUAAGUGAUACAUGAUAUUUGUCCUUCUCUCUGACUUCACUUAGUGUGAUAAUCUCAAGGUCCAUCCAUGUUGCUGCAAAUGGCAUUAUUUCAUUCUUUUUAUGGCUGAGAAAUAUUCCAUUGUAUAGUUGUACCACAUCUUCUUUAUCCAUUCCUCUAUUGAUGGACAUUUAGGUUGCUUCCUUGUCUUGGCUAUUGUAAAUAGUGCUGCUAUGAACACUGGGGUACUUGCAUCUUUUUGAGCUGUAGUUUUCUUCAGAUAGAUGCUCAGGAGUGGAAUCGUCAGAUCAAAUAAUAGUUCUAUUUUUAGUUUUUUGAGGAACCUCCAUA